AUGAAUAUUCUCUGCCUGAACUGUCGCGGAAUUGGGCAACCGGAGACAGUUCGUGAAAUCUGUGACCUGAUUAGGUUACAUCGCCCGGCCUUAGUUUUUCUCUCGGAGACUAAGGUCUCAGAUAAGAGAGCUCAGGAGUUGAGGCAUCGCUUGGGAUUCAGCAAUGCUUUCGGUGUUAAAGCAAGGGGGCUGAGUGCUGGUCUUGUUCUUUAC
rnacentral:rRNA from 1 species